AGCUCUACCUUAGUUUUUUUGUUAAACUGAACAAGACCUCAAACUUAAGAGCUAUUCAAAUAAGGCACAGCUUAUUUGAAAUAGGAUACAACCUACAACAUAGGGUAACCGAGAGUAACUUAAAUAAAGUGGGCCUAAAAGCAGCCAUCUUUAAAAAAGCGUUAAAGCUUAACUACUCCUCACUCACAAUACCUAAAGCCCUCACUAACCCCUCAUUACUAUUGAACAGUUUUAUACUCAUAUAAAAGCUAUUAUGCUAGAACUAGUAACAAGAAAUUGCCUUUCUCCUAAAUGUAAGUAUACACCAAAAUAAACUCUGUUGGCUAUUAACGUGAAUGCUAAACUAUAGUAACACCCGCUAGAAAACUCUAUAACUCUUAACGUUAACCUUACACCAGAACAUUCCAGGAAAGAUUAAAAGAAAAAGAAGGAACUCGGCAAAUCAUAGCCCCGCCUGUUUACCAAAAACAUCGCCUCUUGCAAAACAUAAGAGGUCCAGCCUGCCCAGUGACGAAGUUCAACGGCCGCGGUACCCUAACCGUGCGAAGGUAGCAUAAUCACUUGUUCUUUAAAUGAGGACUUGUAUCAACGGCACUACGAGGGCUAUACUGUCUCCUUUUUCCAAUCAGUGAAACUGAUCUCCCCGUGAAGAAGCGGGGAUCAAAAUAUAAGACGAGAAGACCCCAUGGAGCUUUAAACUCUCUGUGCACUUCUGUGCCCCUACAUCAUUAGACAUAAGAAAUCUGUACACUAGUUUUAGGUUGGGGGGACCACGGAGUACAACUUAACCUCCUUAACAAAUGGGUUAAUACCCUUAUCCACGAGACACACCUCUAAGAAUUAUUAAACUAAUGCCUAUGACCCGAUAUUCGAUCAAUGAACCAAGUUACCCUGGGGAUAACAGCGCAAUCUACUUCAAGAGCCCAUAUCGACAAGUAGGUUUACGACCUCGAUGUUGGAUCAGGGUAUCCCGGUGGUGCAGCCGCUACCAAUGGUUCGUUUGUUCAACGAUUAAAACCCUACGUGAUCU
rnacentral:rRNA from 1 species